ensembl:rRNA 5S_rRNA 5S ribosomal RNA
CUGUGUCAUUACCAUGCAAAAUGCUUCAUGAGCAAUUCAUAGUACCUCAAGAUCUGAUCUUUUCAGAAGCUAAGCUGCAUUAGAUCUGAUCAAUAUUUAGAUGGGAGACCUCCAAAGAAAACCCAGGGUUGCGGAGA